UCAUUUGUUUGCUUCGUUGGAGCAAUGGGAAGCUUUUGCUGUUUUAGGCUGGAAAUGUAAUAAUGCCUCGUGACAUGAGACCAUGGGCCAGUUUAAUCUGGUGAAUUUCUCCAUGUGGACCUGUAAAAUAGAAAUGGCAAUCCAUGGCAUGUGUGCUGAACAGCAGUGUGUUGAACAGCAUCCCUUCUCCACUCAAGUAAUUGAAGUGAACCCCUGAAGUGCUGGUGGUACUGCUGAAGAUUAACUUGCUUUUGAUUGGUCCUGGACUUCCUACAACCAAGCCCUGAGGAGAGGCAGUACUGAUCAGGAAGCGCCCUGUCAGCAGUGAACUGUCUCCCUCGAAGGAAUGCAGUUCCAGCUGACUUGGCCAGGGCUCCAGUUCAAAAAAAGGUCUCCAGCAGUAGGAAGGCACUUGGCAGUCACACACUCUCAGACUUUAUGCUCUGUCCUAUCUGCUGCCUCCAACCACCUACGGGCUUGUGAAGAAAGCAAGAGAUGUGGAGCCACCCACAAACGCCCCUUCCUGGGAGAAACUGGGCCUGCCGCUGCCUGCUCCCCUGCAUAUGGCUCUCUCUCUCUGGCUGUGUUUGAAAGAGGGGGGUGAAACAAGGUCUCUCAUUGGGCUGUGUGAGAACACACAUCCAUGAAAUGCAGCUGAUGGCACUGUAUUGUUCUGUGUCAAUAUGUAGAAAGUAAUCUACUGAACAGGUGGCAUCACUUCUGGUGACAUCAGGGGUGUGUGGCCUAAUAUGCAAAUGGGCUUUUUCUACAAAAAUAAAUAAUAAAAGGAAGUAAUGUGUA